rnacentral:rRNA from 1 species
UACGGGGGGGCAAGCGUUGUUCGGAUUCACUGGGCGUAAAGGGUGCGUAGGUGGUGAGGUAAGUCGGAUGUGAAAUCUCCGAGCUCAACUCGGAAACUGCAUUGGAAACUACCUUGCUCGAGGGUUGGAGGGGGACUGGAAUGCUUGGUGUAGCAGUGAAAUGCGUAGAUAUCAAGCGGAACACCAGUGGCGAAGGCGAGUCCCUGGACAACUCCUGACACUGAUGCACGAAAGCUAGGGGAGCAAACAGG